rnacentral:rRNA from 1 species
AUUAUGACGUGCUUGCACUGAAUGAGAUUUUAACACGAAGUGAGUGGCGGACGGGUGAGUAACACGUGGGUAACCUGCCCAGAAGCAGGGGAUAACACCUGGAAACAGAUGCUAAUACCGUAUAACAGAGAAAACCGCCUGGUUUUCUUUUAAAAGAUGGCUCUGCUAUCACUUCUGGAUGGACCCGCGGCGCAUUAGCUAGUUGGUGAGGUAACGGCUCACCAAGGCGAUGAUGCGUAGCCGACCUGAGAGGGUAAUCGGCCACAUUGGGACUGAGACACGGCCCAGACUCCUACGGGAGGCAGCAGUAGGGAAUCUUCCACAAUGGACGCAAGUCUGAUGGAGCAACGCCGCGUGAGUGAAGAAGGGUUUCGGCUCGUAAAGCUCUGUUGUUAAAGAAGAACGUGGGUGAGAGUAACUGUUCACCCAGUGACGGUAUUUAACCAGAAAGCCACGGCUAACUACGUGCCAGCAGCCGCGGUAAUACGUAGGUGGCAAGCGUUAUCCGGAUUUAUUGGGCGUAAAGCGAGCGCAGGCGGUCUUUUAAGUCUAAUGUGAAAGCCUUCGGCUCAACCGAAGAAGUGCAUUGGAAACUGGGAGACUUGAGUGCAGAAGAGGACAGUGGAACUCCAUGUGUAGCGGUGAAAUGCGUAGAUAUAUGGAAGAACACCAGUGGCGAAGGCGGCUGUCUGGUCUGUAACUGACGCUGAGGCUCGAAAGCAUGGGUAGCGAACAGGAUUAGAUACCCUGGUAGUCCAUGCCGUAAACGAUGAUUACUAAGUGUUGGAGGGUUUCCGCCCUUCAGUGCUGCAGCUAACGCAUUAAGUAAUCCGCCUGGGGAGUACGACCGCAAGGUUGAAACUCAAAAGAAUUGACGGGGGCCCGCACAAGCGGUGGAGCAUGUGGUUUAAUUC